rnacentral:ncRNA from 2 species
UUGAUCAGUAUUAGAGAGAAUAAAAAUAUUGUACUUAAAUUUAAGUACAAUGAUUUUUAUCGCCGAAGGUGCAAGUUAACUACUAAACUCUCAGGCAAAAGGAUAAUACUGCUACG